UGGACGCAGGCGUGCCUGCGCAGUGCGCGUAGGAGUGCUGUUCGUGUGUUCGAGUCCCUGGGUUGCUUCCUGGGGUCUGUGGUGCUGGGUGUGCUAUCUGCGUGUGAUUCUCUAGCGAGAGAUUGUGGGCGAGUGACCGAGUGGGCAAGGGGCCGUCACUGUGUGUGCGUGAUUGUGACGGUGUGUGGUGGUAGCUUCUGACUCCGCGUGGGUCGUUGAAUGUGUGACUGGGACCGUUUAGCGGUGGAUACACAACUGUGUGCGGCUGUGGAAGAUUGCCUCAUCCGUUACGUUCCCAUUUCCGUGGAACAACAGUUUUACCAGAAGGUUUCGAAGGAACCUUAAAGUUUGGAAGCGUAAGAGUUUAUCUGGCGGCUUUGGUGUCAUCAAGUGUGAGAAGCCCUGGACUUUACACUUCCCGAGCCAGUGUGAUCCAGUAUGAUUGGGAGUCCGAGUGCCAGAUGCCGGUCAGGACCUGUUAUGCUGGGUCUCAGAAUGCGGAAACUCUCCCUGUCCGAGGUGGAACAGUUUGUCCUUGAGUGAGGACUGGAGUCCUGAGUGACUCUUUUGAUUUGAUCCUGUUUCCCUCAAACCUGAGAUGGGAGCCUCACUGUAUUGCCCAGGCUGGUCUUGAACUCCUGAGCUCAAGUGAUCGUCUUGCUUCAGCCUUCCAAAAUGAUGGUGAAGCUGCAUCAUUGUCUGGGGUAAAUACCUGAGGUUCGUUGUCUCACGCCAAGGGAAUCAAGGACGUGGACACACAAGAAGUGAGUUUAAGAGCGGAGGUUUAAUAGGCGAAAGAGAAAAGAGAAUAGCUCUAGCUCCUGCAGAGAGAAAAGGGCUCCCAAGUAGGACUUCCAGUCCGUGGCGAAGGGCACGGGGUUUAUAGACUGGCUUCAGGAGGUGGUGUCUGAUUUACGUAGGCCCCAAAGAUUGGUUGGACCAGGUGUGCCAAUCAGAAGCUGGCUGCCCCACCCUAAUCUUUUAUUAUGCAGAUGGGGUCCCUGUCUGACCGGGCCAUGUUGUAUGUUCCUUACUGUACACGUGGUUGACAAAGAAAAGGGAAGAUGGAGCUGCGAUGCUGGACAUGCCUGGCCCCCAGGUAGCUUUUUCCUAUUGGCACAGCUGCUGGCAUUCACCCAUGCAAACUUCCAGCUUGCUUAUCUGUGUCUGCAGCUUGAUUUUUCAGGCUGCUGUUUGUUAGAAAAGAAAUGACUUGGGGGCUGCUUUUCAUUAAAAGGAAAACCUUACCGAGGAUUUCCUUACCCUCACUAUCUGCCUAAAUAAUUUCUUUUUAACUCCUAUGUCACUUGGGAUUACAGGCAUGAGCCGCUGUGCCUGCUAGAGGGUUUUUUAUCUUUAUUCCUCAAGAUUUUGCAUUUAGAUAAUUAUGUUAAACUUGGGUGUGCUAGGUAGACAUAUGUCUGCUGAUUACCCGUUUAGGAAGAAUGUGGAUUCGUACGUAGGGAAAAGGAGUCAGGCUGGUGGGACCAGGGGAAAGCAAAGAGAUAAAGCAAAUAAGCUAUAGAUCUGCAUUUUCUUCAUGGUCCAGGAUAUAUAAACAAAAAAAGGAAGCAGAUAAGCCAUAGGUUUGCUUUUCUUUAUGGCCCAGGACAUACAGCCCUGCCGAGCAAAUAAUGAACAUAACUCACAAACUUCCUGCUUAUCAUCAAACGCACGCAUCCGCUUAUCAUCAAACACCUUGGGUGACAGAAGAAUGCAGGUUAGCUCCCUGCUGCCUUAGCAUUAUCAGCCCAGGAACCAUCCUAUAAAAUCUCCAGCAAGCCUUUGUUUCCUUGCAGUCAGCUCCUCUUCCACUGAUUCUGCCUGUUGCUCCCUGAUAACAUACUUUGAUACUGUCUUUAAUAAAUCUGCCUUUCCUCACCCACA